UACAGAGGUGGCAAGCGUUGUUCGGAAUUACUGGGCGUAAAGGGCGCGUAGGCGGCCUUGUAAGUCUCGUGUGAAAGCCCUCGGCUUAACUGAGGAUCUGCACGGGAUACUGCGAGGCUCGAGUUCGGGAGAGGAAAGCGGAAUUCCGGGUGUAGCGGUGAAAUGCGUAGAUAUCCGGAGGAACACCAGUGGCGAAGGCGGCUUUCUGGACCGACACUGACGCUGAGGAGCGAAAGCCAGGGGAGCAAACGGG
rnacentral:rRNA from 1 species